UGGCGAACGGGUGAGUAACACGUGGGCAACCUGCCCAAAAGAGGGGGAUAACACUUGGAAACAGGUGCUAAUACCGCAUAACCAUAGUUACCGCAUGGUAACUAUGUAAAAGGUGGCUAUGCUACCGCUUUUGGAUGGGCCCGCGGCGCAUUAGCUAGUUGGUGGGGUAAAGGCUUACCAAGGCAAUGAUGCGUAGCCGAACUGAGAGGUUGAUCGGUCACAUUGGGACUGAGACACGGCCCAACUCCUACGGAAGGCAGCAG
rnacentral:rRNA from 1 species